rnacentral:rRNA from 1 species
UACGUAGGUGGCAAGCGUUGUCCGGAUUUAUUGGGCUUAAAGGGUGCGUAGGCGGUCUAUUAAGUCAGUGGUGAAAUACUCCAGCUUAACUGGAGGGGUGCCAUUGAUACUGAUGGACUUGAGUGAAGUCGAGGUAGGCGGAAUUGACGGUGUAGCGGUGAAAUGCUUAGAUAUCGUCAAGAACACCAAUAGUGAAGACAGCUUACUAGGCUUAUACUGACGCUGAGGCACGAAAGUGUGGGGAUCAAACAGG